CAGCUCCAAUAGCGUAUAUUAAAAUUGUUGCAGUUAAAAAGCUCGUAGUUGAAGUUCUGCUGAAAGUAACCGGUCUGCUUUUAAUAAAAGUGGUAUCUUGGUAUGUAUUUAGCAAUGAUGUCCUUUGAAGUGUUUUUUACUUUAUUGUAAUAAAGCAUAUUCAGGACUUUUACUUUGAGAAAAUUAGAGUGUUUCUAGCAGGCUGACGCUUUGAAUACUGCAGCAUGGAAUAAUAAGAUAGGAUUUUAGUUCUACAUUAUUGGUUUUAAGAGCUAAAUUAAUGAUUGAUAGGGACAGUUGGGGGCAUUUGUAUUUAACUGUCAGAGGUGAAAUUCUU
rnacentral:rRNA from 1 species